rnacentral:rRNA from 1 species
GAACGAGUGGCGGACGGGUGAGUAACACGUGGGUAACCUGCCCUUAAGUGGGGGAUAACAUUUGGAAACAGAUGCUAAUACCGCAUAGAUCCAAGAACCGCAUGGUUCUUGGCUGAAAGAUGGCGUAAGCUAUCGCUUUUGGAUGGACCCGCGGCGUAUUAGCUAGUUGGUGAGGUAAUGGCUCACCAAGGCGAUGAUACGUAGCCGAACUGAGAGGUUGAUCGGCCACAUUGGGACUGAGACACGGCCCAAACUCCUACGGGAGGCAGCAGUAGGGAAUCUUCCACAAUGGACGCAAGUCUGAUGGAGCAACGCCGCGUGAGUGAAGAAGGCUUUCGGGUCGUAAAACUCUGUUGUUGGAGAAGAAUGGUCGGCAGAGUAACUGUUGUCGGCGUGACGGUAUCCAACCAGAAAGCCACGGCUAACUACGUGCCAGCAGCCGCGGUAAUACGUAGGUGGCAAGCGUUAUCCGGAUUUAUUGGGCGUAAAGCGAGCGCAGGCGGUUUUUUAAGUCUGAUGUGAAAGCCCUCGGCUUAACCGAGGAAGCGCAUCGGAAACUGGGAAACUUGAGUGCAGAAGAGGACAGUGGAACUCCAUGUGUAGCGGUGAAAUGCGUAGAUAUAUGGAAGAACACCAGUGGCGAAGGCGGCUGUCUGGUCUGUAACUGACGCUGAGGCUCGAAAGCAUGGGUAGCGAACAGGAUUAGAUACCCUGGUAGUCCAUGCCGUAAACGAUGAAUGCUAGGUGUUGGAGGGUUUCCGCCCUUCAGUGCCGCAGCUAACGCAUUAAGCAUUCCGCCUGGGGGAGUACGACCGCAAGGUUGAAACUCAAAGGAAGUUGACGGGGG